AGGAUCGACUAUGUCGAAUAAAAUUCUAGGUAGAAUUUUGAUAAUGACAUUGUCUGCCUAUGUGUCUUGACCAAAUUACGUGCCNGCAGUCGCGGUAAUACGUAGAAGACUAGUGUUAUUCAUGUUUAAUCGGUUUAAAGGGUACCUAGACGGUAAAUCAAGCCUAAAAUUAAAUGAAGGGACUAAUUUACUAGAGUUACUUAUGAGGGGGUAUUAAAGUACUGCUGGUGUAGAGAUGAAAUUCUGUCAUACCUCUUUUCUAUAGAAAAAUAAUGGCACAGGUAUAGGCGAAAGCAUCCCCUUAUGUGAUAACUGACGUUGAGGGACGAAGGCUUUGUGUAGCGAACAGGAUUAGAUACCCCAGUAGUCAAAGCAGAAAAUGAUGAAUGUCAUAGAUUAGAUAAAUAAGUUUAUUCUAUAAAUGAAAGUGUAAGCAUUCCACCUCAAGAGUAAUUUGGCAACAUUGGAACUGAAAUCAUUAGACCGUUUCUGAAACCAGUAGUGAAGUAUGUUGUUUAAUUUGAUGAUCCGCAAAAAACCUUACCACAAUUUGAAUAUUUAUAUCUUUUAUUGUUUUUUUUAUUUUUCUUCUCUUCUGAUUUGAUUUUUCUAAAGAAAAAGAGGCGAUAUGAUAUAUUUACAAGCGUUGCACGGCUGUCUUCAGUUAAUGUCGCGAGACUUUGGUUAGUUCCAUUAAAUUAACGUAAACCCUUACUUUAUUUUUAUAUAGAGUAGUUCCCCGCUAUAUUGGAUAUGAUAAC
rnacentral:rRNA from 1 species